AUACAGAGGGUGCGAGCGUUAAUCGGAAUUACAGGGCGUAAAACGCGCGUAGGCGGUUAUUUAAGUCAGAUGUGAAAUCCCUGGGCUCAACCUAGGAACUGCAUCUGAAACUGGGUAACUAGAGUUUAGGAGAGGGGAGUAGAAUUUCGGGUGUAGCGGUGAAAUGCAUAGAGAUCCGAAGGAAUACCAGUGGCGAAGGCGACUCCCUGGCCUAGAACUGACGCUGAGGUGCGAAAGCGUGGGUAGCAAACGGGAUUAGAUACCCUAGUAGUCC
rnacentral:rRNA from 1 species